AGUACUUGGAAGUGCUCGCUGGGAUCUGCCUGUACUCCAGGUUGGUGCAACUCCACCGCCCUCCAGUGAAGUCCCAGAAGCGAUCAAGUUUAAAGUGAAAGGGGGAUGGAAGCAUUUUUUCUCCCUAUGCCUUCGGAGUCUGUGGCUUCAGUUUGCUGCAGGUUCUCUCCGUGGACUUCUCAGAAACCUCAACUUUCCACUUCGAGGGACAGAAAGCUACAAGGAAAACGCUGAUGGUUUUGGUGGAGAUUCUCCUGGACUUCAGUGGUGUCCUCUGGUACAUCUGUCCGCGGUGUCCCUUUGGUUUAUUUCUGUGGUCUUCCUGCGCAGUCCCUCAGCGGCUCGGAGUUUGGCCUUCCAGCUCUCCAACUCAGAUCCUGAGCCUCCUAAGCUCCCGCGGAGACCCUGAAGUCCCGGAUCUGGCGCCGCUCGCCGACCUGGAGGGAGGCUGCACCGCUGAAGUGCAGUCUCGGAGCUGCGCUCCUCUGGAACAAAGCAGCCAGACGUGGCUUGAGUGGAUUCCUAAGCCAAGGAUUGGAUCCGGAGUACCAGGGGCAGAGAGGGGGAGCAGAGGAAAGAAAGGAGAUGUGAGGAGUUUCCACCUAAAGCACUUCACUCCUCGUGUUCUUCCCCGACAGAGAUAGCUGUGUGGUUCUUCCUUACGCGUGGGUGCAGGUGUGCGCGCUUGGGGUGAGCCCAUGGUUGUGCUCGAGUAUACGGGCGCCUGUGCACCUCCAGGGCAAUGGUAAAGCCUGGCAGAGCUCUUUUUGGAACAAAAUGAAGGAGCUCCAUAUCCACGGAGGCCACCCGUAUGGGCCUUUGCCAAGUAGGGCAGAAGAAGCCCUUGUUAGCCAGCUUCCCUUUGCAACUUCCUACUCUUCCUUUGGGUACAGACUGGUGUCUGGGCUAGCUAGGAUCACAGCUGAGAGCGAAGGUGCUCUCAGUGUCCGAAGACCACGUGCUGGUGAACCCACAAUGAGAAGCGAAAGGGUUUCAGGACUCUAGCAGAAAGGAAGAGCAAGAUUUCACUCAGGGUUUCUUAGAAGAAAGAGUUAACUUUGCUCACUGGCUUUUCCAGGAUGGAGGGAGUGGGGAUAGGGUCGGGGAGAGAAGCAUUGGGAGUCUUGUCGGAGUCUCAAGCAAAACCAGGCGAGGGCUCCGGGCAGAUCCAUUCCCGCAGGGCCCUGUCUAACCUCCUUUCCAGUCGCACCUCUUUCCUGCUUUAGACCCUGCGUCUGUGCCGGUGACCUUAGAGACUAGGUCUGGCUUAUGAAGACUGUUGGGCUCCCUUUCUGCCCUUCACAUAGUAAAAUGUGACCAACUGCAGUAUUCGUAAUGUCUGAUGCUGAGCUGAGUUGAUUCCCAAAUAUAAAUGUUCUUUUCAGAA
rnacentral:lncRNA from 1 species